ACUACUUGGAUAACCGUGGUAAUUCUAGAGCUAAUACAUGCUGAAAACCCCAACUUCGGAAGGGGUGUAUAUAUUAGAUAAAAAACCAACGCCCUUCGGGGCUUCUUGGUGAUUCAUGAUAUCUUUACGGAUCGCAUGGCCUUGCGCCGGCGACGGUUCAUUCAAAUUUCUGCCCUAUCAACUUUCGAUGGUAAGGUAUUGGCUUACCAUGGUUUCAACGGGUAACGGGGAAUUAGGGUUCGAUUCCGGAGAGGGAGCCUGAGAAACGGCUACCACAUCCAAGGAAGGCAGCAGGCGCGCAAAUUACCCAAUCCCGACACGGGGAGGUAGUGACAAUAAAUACUGAUACAGGGCUCUUUUGGGUCUUGUAAUUGGAAUGAGUACAAUUUAAACCUCUUAACGAGGAACAAUUGGAGGGCAAGUCUGGUGCCAGCAGCCGCGGUAAUUCCAGCUCCAAUAGCGUAUAUUAAAGUUGUUGCAGUUAAAAAGCUCGUAGUUGAACCUUGGGUCUGGCUGGCAGGUCCGCCUCACCGCGUGUACUUGUCCGGCCGGGCCUUCCUUCUGGAGAACCUCAUGCCCUUCACUGGGCGUGUUGGGGACCAGGACUUUUACUUUGAAAAAAUUAGAGUGUUCAAAGCAGGCCUUUGCUCGAAUACGUUAGCAUGGAAUAAUAGAAUAGGACGUGCGGUCCUAUUUUGUUGGUUUCUAGGACCGCCGUAAUGAUUAAUAGGGACAGUCGGGGGCAUCAGUAUUCAAUUGUCAGAGGUGAAAUUCUUGGAUUUAUUGAAGACUAACUACUGCGAAAGCAUUUGCCAAGGAUGUUUUCAUUAAUCAGUGAACGAAAGUUAGGGGAUCGAAGACGAUCAGAUACCGUCGUAGUCUUAACCGUAAACUAUGCCGACUAGGGAUCGGGCGAUGUUCUUUUUCUGACUCGCUCGGCACCUUACGAGAAA
rnacentral:rRNA from 1 species